rnacentral:rRNA from 1 species
GACGAACGCUGGCGGCGUGCUUAACACAUGCAAGUCGAACGGAAAGGCCCUGCUUUUGUGGGGUGCUCGAGUGGCGAACGGGUGAGUAACACGUGAGUAACCUGCCCUUGACUUUGGGAUAACUUCAGGAAACUGGGGCUAAUACCGGAUAGGAGCUCCUGCUGCAUGGUGGGGGUUGGAAAGUUUCGGCGGUUGGGGAUGGACUCGCGGCUUAUCAGCUUGUUGGUGGGGUAGUGGCUUACCAAGGCUUUGACGGGUAGCCGGCCUGAGAGGGUGACCGGCCACAUUGGGACUGAGGUACGGCCCAGACUCCUACGGGAGGCAGCAGUGGGGAAUAUUGCACAAUGGGCGGAAGCCUGAUGCAGCAACGCCGCGUGCGGGAUGACGGCCUUCGGGUUGUAAACCGCUUUCGCCUGUGACGAAGCGCGAGUGAUGGUAAUGGGUAAAGAAGCACCGGCUAACUACGUG